UAACUUACAUCUAUAAACGCCAGGGAAUUACGAGCUACGCUUAAAACCCAAAGGAUUUGACGGUGUCCCACCCACCUAGAGGAGCCUGUUCUAUAAUCGAUAAUACCCGCUAUACCCAACCACCUCUUGCUAUUCAGUCUGUAUACCUCCGUCGAAAGCUUACCAUGUGAACGCCUACAGUGAGUACAAUUACCCCCAACGUCAACACGUCAGGUCAAGGUGCAGCUUAAGGGGUGGAAAGAAAUGGGCUACAAUUUCUAAUCUAGAACAAACGAAAGACUAUGUGAAAUCAUGGUACUGAAGGCGGAUUUAGCAGUAAAAAGAAAAUAGAGCGUUCUUUUUAACMUGGCUCUGGGACGCGUACACACCGCCCGUCAC
rnacentral:rRNA from 1 species